CCCUUAGAUGUCCUGGGCCGCACGCGCGUUACACUGAUGCAUUCAACGAGCUUAUAACCUUGGCCGAGAGGCCUGGGCAAUCUUGUUAACGUGCAUCGUGAUAGGGAUAGAUUAUUGAAAUUAUUAAUCUUGAACGAGGAAUUCCUAGUAAACGCAGAUCAUCAAUCUGCAUUGAUUACGUCCCUGCCCUUUGUACACACCGCCCGUCGCUACUACCGAUUGAAUGGUUUAGUGAGAUCUUCGGAUUGGCGCCACUGCAGCUCAGCAAUGGGCUUGGUGGAUGCCGAAAAGUUGAUCAAACUUGAUCAUUUAGAGGAAGUAAAAGUCGUAACA
rnacentral:rRNA from 1 species